CAAUACGGGACUCAUCCGAGGCCCCGUAAUUGGAAUGACUACAAUUUAAAUCCUUUAAGAAGGAUCCAUUGGAGGGCAAGUCUGGUGCCAGCAGCCGCGGUAAUUCCAGCUCCAAUAGCGUAUAUUAAAGUUGCUGCAGUUGAAAAGCUCGUAGUUGGAUCUCAGUUAUAGGCAGGUGGUUCACUUUACAGUAUUACUACCUGUACUGAACAUAUUGCUGGAUCUCAUGGGUGCCCUUCACUGGGUGCCCAUUGAGGACAGACGUUUUACUUUGAGAAAAUUAGAGUGCUCAAAGCAGGCGAAUGCCUGAAUAGUUGUGCAUGGAAUAAUGAAAUAUGGCCUCGGUGUUUUUUUGUUGGUUAUGAUGCUCGAGGUAAUGGUUAAAAGGGACUGACGGGGGCAUUCGUAUUGCGGCGUUAGAGGUGAAAUUCUUAGAUCGUCGCAAGACGGACUACUGCGAAAGCAUUUGCCAAGAAUGUCUUCAUUAAUCAAGAACGAAAGUCAGAGGUUCGAAGGCGAUCAGAUACCGCCCUAGUUCUGACCUUAAACGAUGCUAACUGGCGAUCCAGGAGGGGUAUUUAAAUGACCCGCUGGGCAGCUUCUGGGAAACCAAAGUUUUUGGGUUCCGGGGGAAGUAUGGUUGCAAAGCUGGAACUUAAAGGAAUUGACGGAAGGGCACCACCAGGAGUGGAGCCUGUGGCUUAAUUUGACUCAACACGGGAAACCUCACCAGGCCCAGACACUAGAAGGAUUGACAGAUUGAGAGCUCUUUCUUGAUUUAGUGGAUGGUGGUGCAUGGCCGUUCUUAGUUGGUGGAGUGAUUUGUCUGGUUAAUUCCGAUAACGAA
rnacentral:rRNA from 1 species